UGUCGGGACCCGAAAGAUGGUGAA
rnacentral:snRNA from 1 species